rnacentral:rRNA from 1 species
GAUGAACGCUGGCGGCGUGCUUAACACAUGCAAGUCGAACGGUGAACCCGGAGCUUGCUCUGUGGGAUCAGUGGCGAACGGGUGAGUAACACGUGAGUAACCUGCCCCUGACUCUGGGAUAAGCGCUGGAAACGGCGUCUAAUACUGGAUAUGUGACGUGAUCGCAUGGUCUGCGUCUGGAAAGAAUUUCGGUUGGGGAUGGGCUCGCGGCCUAUCAGCUUGUUGGUGAGGUACUGGCUCACCAAGGCGUCGACGGGUAGCCGGCCUGAGAGGGUGACCGGCCACACUGGGACUGAGACACGGCCCAGACUCCUACGGGAGGCAGCAGUGGGGAAUAUUGCACAAUGGGCGCAAGCCUGAUGCAGCAACGCCGCGUGAGGGAUGACGGCCUUCGGGUUGUAAACCGCUUUUAGCAGGGAAGAAGCGAAAGUGACGGUACCUGCAGAAAAAGCGCCGGCUAACUACGUG